GUGACCUGCGGAAGGAUCAUUACUGAGUGAGGGCCCUCUGGGUCCAACCUCCCACCCGUGUUUAUUGUACCUUGUUGCUUCGGUGCGCCCGCCUCACGGCCGCCGGGGGGCUUCUGCCCCCGGGUCCGCGCGCACCGGAGACACUAUUGAACUCUGUCUGAAGAUUGCAGUCUGAGCAUAAACUAAAUAAGUUAAAACUUUCAACAACGGAUCUCUUGGUUCCGGCAUCGAUGAAGAACGCAGCGAAAUGCGAUAACUAAUGUGAAUUGCAGAAUUCAGUGAAUCAUCGAGUCUUUGAACGCACAUUGCGCCCCCUGGUAUUCCGGGGGGCAUGCCUGUCCGAGCGUCAUUGCUGCCCUCAAGCACGGCUUGUGUGUUGGGCUCCGUCCCCCCGGGGACGGGUCCGAAAGGCAGCGGCGGCACCGAGUCCGGUCCUCGAGCGUAUGGGGCUUUGUCACCCGCUCUGUAGGCCCGGCCGGCGCCAGCCGACAACCAAUCAUCCUUUUUUCAGGUUGACCUCGGAUCAGGUAGGGAUACCCGCUGAACUUAAGCAUAUCAAUAAGCGGAGGAAAAGAAACCAACAGGGAUUACCUCAGUAACGGCGAGUGAAGCGGUAAGAGCUCAAAUUUGAAAGCUGGCUCCUUCGGGGUCCGCAUUGUAAUUUGCAGAGGAUGUUUCGGGAGCAGCCCCCAUCUAAGUGUCCUGGAACGGACCGUCAUAGAGGGUGAGAAUCCCGUAUGGGGAUGGGGUGUCUGCGCCCAUGUGAAACUCCUUCGACGAG
rnacentral:rRNA from 1 species